GCCUGGGUGGCUCAGUCGGUUGAGCGUCCGACUUCGGCUCAGGUCACAAUCUCAUGGACCGUGAGUUCGAGCCCCACGUCGGGCU
rnacentral:tRNA from 1 species